rnacentral:rRNA from 1 species
AUUGAACGCUGGCGGCAGGCCUAACACAUGCAAGUCGAACGAGUGGCGGACGGGUGAGUAAUGUCUGGGAAACUGCCUGAUGGAGGGGGAUAACUACUGGAAACGGUAGCUAAUACCGCAUACCAUCAGAUGUGCCCCGAUGGGAUUCGCUUGUUGGUGGGGGAACGGCUAACCAAGGCGACGAUCCCUAGCUGGUCUGAGAGGGUGACCAGCCACACUGGAACUGAGACACGGUCCAGACUCCUAAGGGAGGCAGCAGUGGGGAAUAUUGCACAAUGGGCGAAAGCCGGAUGCAGCCAUGCGGCGUGUAUGAAGAAGGCCUUCGGGUUGGAAAGUACUUUCAGCAGGGAGGCGGUACCCGAAGAAAAAGCACCGGCUAAAUCCGUGCCAGCAGCCGCGGUAAUAC